rnacentral:lncRNA from 1 species
GCGGAGUUGAAGGAACCUACUGGAUAAGGACAGGUAUAAUGUCUAAGAUACGAUAUAUUCUAAACGCUUUCGGUUAAAAGACGACAGGCAACUGAAUUGCAAUAGUAUAAUUUAAUAGGAAUUGCAACUACCCGAAAAAUAAGCUAAAGGAUGCUUCAGUUUUGUUUAUACUUUUCACUGGCCCACUUAUAUAUACAAUAGCGCUAAUUUUUGCUGCAAUUUGUUUCUCUCAUGCGAUUUUAUUCUUCUUGUAUAUAGAUUUUACUUGCAUGGUUUGAAUGAUUUUCGAAAAGUCUGGUAGUUGUGAAAAAUAAAGUAUGCUGUGGACGAACAGGGAACAAGUUGUAUAUUCAGUCAGCACAAUAGUCGAAACAUAAUUGAUUAAGUCUGGUUUCCAUUAUCGUCAGACUAGUGCUAGUUGGCGACCAAAUGGAAACACGAAGCUUGAUUGACUAAUAGCAAGCUUGCAUGAUUGGGAUGACAAGCUUGAUUGAAAUAUUUAACUAUAGUAAGUCAUUUACAAUGGUGAUAUAUUUUAUUCACAGGAAAGGAGGGUAUAAGAUGUCGCGCCUUGUCAUAAUUCUCAUGUUGGUGUUGGUAAUCACUUCAACAGUAACGUCUAGUUGGUCGAGGGGUCCCAGCCGUAGACAUCGCGCUAGAAAACCAGCCAAAACGGUACGCAAAAAUCAGCUAUAUAGCUAAGACCUAUGAUAUAUAUCAGCACGUUUCAAAAUACGACACUGUCUUGAAAACUGGAAAAACCUUUAAGAAGGCAUGUUAUCCCCUCUGCCUACAGUGGAAGGUUAGCACUAUUUUCCAUCCAGCAAACUGACCUGACGUCAUUUUCGCAAGAUAGAAGAGGUGUUAAAUGGCUAUGUAACUAACACAAACCCUACCCCUGGUCCCCUACUCUAACCGCUAACCCUAACUUCAACCCUAACUCUAACCCUAACCGAAUUAAUAAAAAAAUCCAAAAAUAAACGACUUUACAAAAUCGAUAGGGCGGUUUGCUGGAUGGAAAAAAGUGCUAACCACAGUGGAACCCGACCGUUCGAUAUAUUAUUAUUUAUUAUGAUUCCUAUCUGCAACGGCAGUCGUGAAUGAAAGUGUUCCUAAAAUAUUCUACCAAUUCAUCAUUCGUUUGGUAAUACACUAUAGUGCUAUAGAUAUCUUAUAUACACUAGAUAGUGCAUCUAAUUAUUCUGCAAUUCAAAAAUUGAAGCCGUGAUUGCAGACUCAGGAUAUUCCCAUUUCCCACGGAGAAGACUCGUAUGUUUUCUAUUUCUUAAACACAGAACAUAAACAUCAAGUUAAACCUAUUCCAAAAUAUUUUCAAACUAUUCAAAUGAGGAAAGUUAUUGUUGUUUUUUAAGCGUUUAUUUAAUAGCGAGUGGGAAAAUCCAACAUGGUCGCCAUCUAUUCAAAUGGGAGUAACCGCUGGAAUAUUCUUGGCUUCAAUUUUACUAAAAGAGAUGUGCUAUCUAGUGUAUAUAAGAUAUCUAAGUAUAGUGCUAAUAAUAUAUGAACAAUGUUUCUUCCCGUUUUAUUACAGUGUACUAAAAAGGUAGGACGUUUUGAAUACUGCAAACGCACAGAAAAGGGUAGAACCACCUAUUACUUGAGAUGUUGCCACGGCCAAUGCAAGCCGGCAUCCUAUGGGAGGAAAGGUAUUGUUCUCUUCAAGUGCAAGUAGCACGAGAAUAAUGGAUUAGUGAUCGCUUGAGUAUUUUGUUAUUAUAGGAGUAAAUGUGUUAAAUACGUAAAACUAGUCGAAUAUUGUACAGUAUCUAUAUAUAGUCUAUAUAUAUCAAACAGGUGAACAUUUUUGCUUUUAAAUUUCAGGCGUGUCAAUAACUAAGGUAACUUUAAGUAGUGUAACUGCAAAAUUCUGUACACAAUAAAACUUGUAUGAGC